AACGAUCGCUGGCGGCAGGCCUAACACAUGCAAGUCGAACGCCCUAGCAAUAGGGAGUGGCAGACGGGUGAGUAACACGUGGGAACCUUCCCUAUAGUACGGAAUAGCUCAGGGAAACUUGAAGUAAUACCGUAUACGCCCGAGAGGGGAAAGAUUUAUCGCUAUAGGAUGGGCCGCGUCGGAUUAGCUAGUUGGUGAGGUAAUGGCUCACCAAGGCGACGAUCCGUAGCUGGUUUGAGAGAACGACCAGCCACACUGGGACUGAGACACGGCCCAGACUCCUACGGGAGGCAGCAGUGGGGAAUAUUGGACAAUGGGCGCAAGCCUGAUCCAGCCAUGCCGCGUGAGUGAUGAAGGCCUUAGGGUUGUAAAGCUCUUUUAGCAGGGAAGAUAAUGACUGUACCUGCAGAAUAAGCUCCAGCUAACUUCGUGCCAGCAGCCGCGGU
rnacentral:rRNA from 1 species